CCUCAAGGUGCUGCGGUUGCUGCCGUGUUCGCUGCCGUCCUCACGACUGCACUGCCGGUGUAAGUGCAUCGUCUCUGGGAUCUCUGUUAUCCGUUUUAUCAGGGAGCGACCCAGACCUUUCUUGGAGUUGCGCUUCUUUUGGAGGGUCCAAGCUGUGCUCACUCCAGGCCGAGGUAAUGCUGUUGUUGAGGUAAGAGCCAGACCUUCCCAUGUCCAGCUCCUCCUCAUAGGCCUCGGUGGCAAUAUCAUCCCUGGCCUGAGUCCCUUUGGACAGGAACUAAGACAGAUGGAGAGCAAGAUUAAAGAAUGGCAUCACUGAGCCUGCUGGAAGGAGGACGUGAUUUAGACAUUCACCUCUGACCACACAUCUCUUUGUUCACGCCCACUCGCACCUGUUCUACCCUACUUUGCUCACCCACCUGAUGAUGUGGAAGAUGGCUGAUA